UACGAAGGGUGCAAACGUUGCUCGGAAUCAUUGGGCGUAAAGCGCACGUAGGCGGCCUUGUAAGUCGGAUGUGAAAUCCCUCGGCUCAACCGAGGACGUGCAUUCGAAACUGCUCGGCUCGAGUAUGGAAGAGGGUCGCAGAAUUCCCGGUGUAGAGGUGAAAUUCGUAGAUAUCGUAAGGAAGACCAGUGGCGAAGGCGGGUCUCUGGACAGUUCCUGACGCUGAGGCACGAAGGCCAGGGGAGCAAACGGGG
rnacentral:rRNA from 1 species